rnacentral:lncRNA from 1 species
GAAGAUUAACACGGAUUAGAAACGACGAAAUUGAAAAAUUUAGGCUUAACUUUUCAAGAUGAGUAAACCGUGAUGUAUUAAUUUACCAGCCGGUAGCUGGUAAAUGAAAAUUUACAUGAAGAAAUACUGGCGCUCUUUGGCAAUAGUGCAUAAUAGGAUUUUGAAGAAAAAUAGUGGCACAGACAACAUGUAUAUCCUGCGCACUUGUUCAACAAAUUGUAUAGAGAACAUGUAACUUUUGAUAGUAUUUUCACAACUUGAAUAGUUUUUAGAAAGUAAAAGAGCCUUACAAUUUAAACUUUUAUCAAGCAUUAAGCGUCUUAGCCGAAUUUACUUAGGGAAAGAAAAGAAUAUAAUCAAGAAUAUUUAGUAAACACUGUCGACGAGAAAGACUAGUUAAGUGAAGUCUAAAUUAAUUUAGUUUGUAUUUGUUAGGUUUACAGUUAGCUGCUUUGAAAAUGGUGCAAACGAAAACAAUGAGACAAGUAGUUUAAUUUACAUAAGGUAGCGAGAAGUUUAAGUAGGGUGACUCAAGAAAAUCAUCCACAAUACGUUUUCUUCAGUUUAUCGCAAGCAGUGACUGUUAUGAAAGUAGAAGAACUUUUUGAUUCUUUCAGCCUGUACUACUUAUGAAAAGUGAACUAGUCUUUUGUUGUGUUUGUUUGUUGAUUUAAGGUCUAGAAAAACAAAUUAAAACUUUAAGCAAUAUAAAUCUCAGCUGGAGUCCAUUCACUUUUAAGAUGUGAGCUGUUUGAGGGCACAAAACAGAAACUGCUUUGUCGGCGGGCGUGAAGCAGUUACUUAAUUAUCAACGUGAAAUGGAAUGCUAUAUGUUAUAAAAAGCGCGAUCAGGAACAAUGAUAAUUUCAGGGCCCUCAAGUAAGUUUGCCAAAGCAGCGAAGAUGAGUUUGUAACAGAUAAGAAAGUGCAUUUUGGGUCCUUGUUUAUCUUUAUUUUCCAACAGUAGAGGGGUUAACACGUCUGAGAAGCAAAAUUUAGUCGGCCAUGUUUGUAUAUUCAGUAUUGGACAGGAACUAGCUUGCAAAUGAGGCAACGGCGAGGAGUGUUUCCAAAUGCAAAUGAAAUUACCAAUGAAAUCUUGACUCUUGAAUCUAAAUACGGAUUUUGCCUUCCUUUUACUUCAUCCUGCAAUGCAAUGGUGUGUUACUAAAGUCCAAACAAAAAUGUGAAUUAAAGCGAAAAAAGAAAACCGUACAAUAUAGAGAAACAAAGGAGCAAAGAAAAUUUAAGACCAAAUCCUUUCUGCGACCAGAGAAAGCGAGCGAAAUGGGCGUGUACAACGAGUCAACGAACCCAAGGAUGAUUGGACCCCUAGUAAACCCUGGGAAUGACGGCGAGGCCAGGCUGGGACGUGGCCUGGACGCUACUCCAUUUAUUAAAGGCCAGUCGAACUUGAUACCAAAUCAUAUCCUUUGACGACGCACCUUAGUAUCGCUUAAAGAAACGAACCUUUUCAAUUAGGAACAAGAUGAAGGAGUGACGAUUGGUUUACUAGACUGGAUUGCGCUCUGAUUUUGCCGGACUCCUCAAGUAGUAACGGGGACUUACAAGGGUGAAGUUGGAUGUCGUUCGGAUUUUGUUCGGAUUCUCGCAUCUCUAGUUUACAUUAGAAAGUAUAAGCCACGCCUUUAUAACGAUACACAUUAAAGUUUAAAUGUAGAUUGCACAAUUGUAUCAAAGAAUAAUUUUAAUGUUCAGAUCAAGAAAACUGUGCUUUAGAAGGCAAUACUAGGUGACUUUCGGUCUCAUGUGCGCUGAUCUUUGUGUGUUGUUUUUCUUUUUUGUGUUCAAUUUGUUUGUGACUGCCAGUUCUGUACUUUUAUAGCCUCAUAUUGGCAGGUGCGCAUGUAUCUUUAUCUUCGUGUACAGUCUAGAGCUGUGUGCCUCUCUUUAUCUUCCUAUGUUGCUUGCAGCUUUGUGCGUUCAGUAACCUUCCGUUUCCGCGUUUACUUUUGUUUAUGACUCAGUGCAAGUUUUGCGUUUAUCUUUGCCAGUGAUCUAAACUUUCAGUUUAGCAUGUCCCUUUAGAUCUAUGACUUCCAGUUUACUUGAAAUGAUCUACGACGGUAUUUCCAGUUUCGCUUGUUUAUGAUUUUCUGCCAAUUUUUAAGGCAUGUUUAUCUUUCUUCGUCUGUGACUUUCAUUUUUUUAGGGAGGUUACCUGUGACGGUAUAUUUCAAUUUUGUUCAUCUGUCGCAGCCAUUUUGCUUCAAUAUCAGCAUGGAGUUAGAGGCAAAAACAUAGACCUACUAAAGAAAUACACGUCUCAGUUGAGAUAGCUUGUUUGAGUUUUUUCUGUUGCCCUGUAGACAAACAAAGUCCUAUUGUAAAAGAGAGACUGUUGUCGCCUUUUUUUGUAUUCUUUCCUCCGAGCUAAAGGGGAGUGGUAAUAUUAUUUACAGUUAACUAUCUUAUCGCUUGUUUUUUAAACAAAUUGACUUUAAUAAGCAAGGAACCAUAAAUUGAAAUCGCUAAUUAAUUAUGGUUCCUUGCCAGGAGUUUCUGACAGCAGUAAAAUCAUGACAGAAAGAUCUAUUGUUGUCUAUUAUUGUGUAUGUGUUUCUUUGAAGGCAGAGGAAAUCCCAUAAUGGAUUGCUCACCAUUUAAUUAUGCGCAUGUCUGGAUAGAUAGAUUGUUGAAGUUCAAUUGUUGCUCGUUUUCCACCUUAUUAAACUGAUAAUGUGAUUGUGUUUUAAGAAUUUUCCAGUAGAAAUAACAAACUCGUGUUGUAACCAGAAAAGUGCGAAACCGAGAAUCAUUUUGAUUUCAAGAUGAAUUACAACAAAGAAAUUCAACAAAGAAAUUUAAAUUGAAACUUUCUACUUCCCUUGACUUCCAACGCAUGAAUUUUCAGAUGAAAUCUGAUUGGCACACCUUUAUAGCAUGACACACGAUAACAUCGUUAAUGACAGUUAAGCAACGUAAUGGCGACAGAGGACUCCUUAAGUAAAUGUAUCAGGUGUUAUUUUUCGCCUUCCCAUAUUCGCUCCCCCCCUGCACCACCCCCCCACCAAAAAAACGCCUGAUGGCAGGUUACCUGUGAACAUGUGAGCGUAUGAGAGCCCGGCUUUGAGUUUGACAAAAGCGAAAGCGUCAAAAGGUAGAGGUCCCGUAAGUUGUCAAUUAUCCAAAAGACUCGUGACCAGACCAGAUUAGACCAUGAUCUCUCCCCCAGUCUCACUCCAGAGAGUGGGAAGAAGAGAGACCCUGGAAACGAGGUUGUCAAUAACUUCCCUCUCUUCCCCUCGCUGUAAUUUUUUAGUUGCCCUACGUACGGUUUCCCUUUGAUGUGAUAGGAUAGAAACACAUGUUCAUGUUGCAAUUAUAACAACAGCAGUGAAUUAGUGGAUCAUCAAACUUUGGUCCAAAUUAGUUCCCACUUUUAUUCUCUGUUAUAUUCUAACAGAACUGAUCAGUGACAUGAACAACGUAGACGAAGUUAUACAAGUCAUCUCAAUCGGCUUCAUUGUUGCCGGCUUUCUUCUCAACACCAGUCGAUAUCUAACAGCCAUCGAAUUAUGCAAGGAAUGCUUGUUCAUUCUGAAAGACAGAGCAGCCAUAAUAGACGAGAAAAUCACCAAAUCAUUCUACAAGGGAAUAUAUUUUACAAUGUGGAAGGCUUGUAAACGUAUCAGGGAUAACACAAACGCCAUAAAAUACGCAGAAAAUACUCUCCUAAUUUACUAUGAAAAUGGCGAAAGACUGUGAAAGAAUGUGAGCUAAGCUUAAAACUUGCAAAAAUGUAUUUUCAUCAUUGUAGAUACCCA